CCUACGGGAGGCAGCAGUGAGGAAUAUUGGUCAAUGGACGAGAGUCUGAACCAGCCAAGUAGCGUGAAGGAUGACUGCCCUAUGGGUUGUAAACUUCUUUUAUAAAGGAAUAAAACGAGGCACGUGUGCCUUUUUGCAUGUACUUUAUGAAUAAGGAUCGGCUAACUCCGUGCCAGCAGCCGCGGUAAUACGGAGGAUCCGAGCGUUAUCCGGAUUUAUUGGGUUUAAGGGGAGCGUAGAUGGGUUGUUAAGUCAGUUGUGAAAGUUUGCGGCUCAACCGUAAAAUUGCAAUUGAUAAUGGCAGUCUUGAGUACAGUUGAGGUAGGCGGAAUUCGUGGUGUAGCAGUGAAAUGCUUAGAUCUCACGAAGAACCCCGAUUGCGAAGGCAGCUUACUAAACUGUGACUGACAUUGAUGCUCGAAAGUGUGGGUAUCAAACAGGAUUAGAUACCCCAGUAGUC
rnacentral:rRNA from 1 species